GAAUUGGCGAGGGCUGUGAGGGAGAGGAUUCAGCCUGGUAUCAUAGGGAGACUGUGGGCUUUGGUAGCUGGCAGGACUGAGCUCACUGCCUUCGGGCACUCUCAGCCUCAGUUUCACCAUCUGUAAGAUGGGUAAUAAUCCCUACCUCGCACUGCAGUGAUGGUGAUGAAGAUUAAGUAGAAUGCAGCAGUCAACAUAAGUCAGAAAUCGGUAGUGUCAAUCCCAUCCUGCACCAUCCCUCCUUUCCUCUUCUGUUUCCAGACAGGUUAUAGGAGUAGGGGUGCUGCAAUGGGACAGACUGGGUCCCUCUGGAGUUGGGAACGAGAGUUACCAUAACGAGGAGUGGAGACCUGGACGCCUGGCUUCCUGCUCUUGCCUUUCUCAGGCACCUCUUCCCACUGGGAGAAGACCACGCGACCUGUCUGCCAGAAAGCCCUCCACCCCACCCCAGACCACCCCAGUCCUGCCUGUGGCCACACCCGUGUGUGGGACCCUCGUCUCCCCAAGGUGAGGCUUCAUGGAGUAUAAUGGACCCACAGCCAUCUCCUUCCCCAACACCAACUCUGCCUGCAUUUUAGGCCAGGUUUGUAGGAGAGUUGAAUGAAGAUUGAAUGAAUGAAUGAUGAAAAGUACAAAAUGCCAUCACUUCACUUCUUUCAGGAAGACCCAGGACACUCUGCUGCAUCCUCCACCUGUUUGUGAAUUAAAUGUCCAUGAUGGCUUUUACUAAGCACUUACUAUGUGCCAGGCACUGUGCUGAGCUCUGCACCUUUAAGAGGCAGCAAGUCGUGACUGGUUCAGAGCUGGCUCAGAGCUGCCUGAGUUGGAAGCCUCGGAUAGGAAAAUGGAAGCUUAAAGAGGUUAAGCCCUGGCCAAGCACAGUAGCUCGUGCCUGUAAUUCCAGCACUUUGGGAGGCCAAGGCGGGAGGAUCACGUGGGCCCAGAAGUUCAAGACUAGCCUGGAUAACAAAGUGAAACCUCAUUUCUACAAAAAAUUUAAAAAUUAGCCAGGUGUGGUGGCACACGCCUAUAAUCCCAGCUACUCCGGAGGCUGAAGCUGGAAUAUCGCCUGAGCCCACAAGUUCAAGGCUGCAGUGAACUAUGAUCAUGCCACUGCGCUCCAGCCUGAGUGACAGAGCAAGACCCUGUCACUAAAAAAGUUGGGGAGGGGGGUCAAGCCCUCUGCUGAGCUAGUAAUAGUGGGACUGAGGUUCAAGCCCAUGGCUGAUUCCAGAUCCUGUUUACAGAGCCGUUAUGUGACGUAACUAAAGUGUUGAUUAUGCAUCGACUAGGCACACCAUGCAAGGUGCUGCGGAUGCUGCUGUCACCAACACACCCAGUCCUGGCCCACAGGGGGCUGCCACCCCAGCCCCCAGUGCUCUCCCUGGAUCCUGAAUCCUAGCUAUCCCUUCAGAGCCACCCCUCUGGCUUCCAAGCACCUGCACUACCCACUCCCACCCCUCCCUGGAAGGGAUGGCGCAGCCUGGGAGCCAGCUGCUCUGGGGGGCUCAGACCUGUGGGCUGGAUUGUCCAUGUGUCAGGGAAGGAAAGGGAAGCCCAUGGCAGGAGGGACACCCUCUUAUGGGUGGUAGCAACUCCAUGGAGCCCAGGCUGCAUCGUUCACUGAGGCUGCUAAUGUUUGAACCUAUCUUUGAAUAAGAUCCACCCUCUUGCACUGGCAAGUCCAAGCUGUAGUAAACCCUGAGGGAGACCCACAGUCCAGCUGCAAGGCCCUGCCCCACUCUUGGCCGCUGGCAGAAGCUCCAGGCUUGCCGAGGGGUGCCACGUAGCAGAGGCAGUCUCCGCCUCUAGCCCAUCCCACUCCUUCAUCUGCUUCUCGUUAGCUUCAAAAGUAAGGCCUGGCGCUGUGCCCUGGGCAGGAGGGAGAGCUUGGUGUGGCCGCUCAGAGCUUCACCUCCCUUGCCUGGGGUUUCUCUUCUCCUGCCCCAUCCAUCGUCAGCACAGCUGACUGCUUCUGGGGCUCCUCUGUCUACCUUCCCCACGUUCCAGCACCCCCCUUCCCCUGCCCCUCUGUAGCAACCGCCUCCCUGCAAAGCCCCACCCACCCACACACUCAUACACACACCCCUCUCACUCCCCUGGCACUCAGUCCCUCCAAGCUUCCUUCCUUAUCCCUUUAGAGCCCUGCAGCCCUCAGGCAGUGUAGCCCAGAGGUUCAAGGGCAUUCGCUCUGGUAUCAGAAGGGUCUGGGUUCAAAUCCCUUGUGCACUGCUUGCUGGCUGUGUGACUUUGGGCAAGUUGCCUAAUCUCUCUGGUCCUCAGUUUUUGCAUCUGUAAAAUGGGGAUGAUAUUAACAGUACCUACUUCAUAGGGUUAUCUUGAGGAUUAAAUAAAAUAGUACAAGUAAAGGUCCCAGCAUAAAAUCAGGGCUGAUCCACCUUAGGUAUAAAAAGGAUAAAUUAGGACUUGGAAUCUUACUCUUCCUAAGGAGACCUGCAGUUGGCUAAAGGAGGACCUGCCUUCAGGGACAGAAAUUCAGGUUUUGUUUUAGAAUAGGCCUGAGGGAGUAGGAAGCUGGAGGAACCUGUCUCUAUAUUCUGGAUACCUCAAAGACAGUUAAAUUCUGCCGUGGUGAGCAUUUAUUGAGCACUAUCUGUGUGCCAGGCACUGUGUGGGGAAACCACAAUCCCUGCAGAUCAAGGAGCUCAGAUUCUAGUGCCAGAAAAAAAUGUAAAGAGAAAGGGCCACCAUGCCACCCACUGAAGACGGCAAGGGAAGAGGCCAGAAAGUGCUACGAACAAGGAGGAAACAGCUCCAAGUUGUUGGGCAGUCGGGCGCUGGGUCUCAAAGGAGGGCCACUUGCAUGGACAGAAGGUACCCCUCUUACUGAGCACUGGGGGCCUGGUGGGUCCCCUGUGCUCUCCAGGAGAAGCAGGCAGAAUUCCUAAGCCCCGUUAGGCCAAUGAGGAAGUUGAGGCACCGAGAGUAAGGGGCAUCUGCUUCCCCACCAGCUGACUUCUAUUCUAGAAAGGAAUGUUCUGCACAACCCCAAACCGUCAGCUCUUUCUGCUUGCAAACUUGGCAGGAGUUUGCAGGGAACACAAAGAAGAGAGGGGGAGGAGCAAGGUGGAUCAGCCGGGCUGGCUUGCCCAGGGCCUGGCACAGAGGAUGGACUUUGUCCCACGUGGGUGAGGGGCGUUCACACACAGGCGUCCACACCCCCACGUUGCUCCACCAGGCAGAAGGCCAGAUUUUGUCCUUGUAAUUCCCAGAACUGCCCUGAAACAGGACUGCUCACUACUGUGCAUGGUUUAAAAUGCAGUGGGGGGUUUUGGGGAGUUUUUUCGUUUGUUUUGAUACGGGGUCUCACUCUGUCACCCAGGCUGGAGUACAGUGGCAUGAUCAUGGCUCACCACAGCCUCAACCUCCCGGGCUCAGGUGAUCCUCCCAUCUCAGCAUCCCGAGUAGCUGAGACUAUAGGCACUUGCCACCAUGCCAGGCUGAUUUUUUCCAUGUUUUUUGUAAAGACAGGGUUUUACCAUAUUGCCCAGGCUGAUCCACCCACCUUAGCCUCCCAAAGUUCUGAGAUUACAGGCAUGAACCACGGUACCUGGCCAAACAUGCAGUAGUUUUAAAAGAAGCCUGCUCAGGGAGAGGAGAAAUGAGUCCUGUCAGAUCUGCUCCCCCUGGAGAAUGGCUUCCUCACCAGCCCAGCCCCUGUCUGUGCCCAGGGGGAAGCAGGCAUGAGGAGGACCAAGGGGGCACUGCCAUGUACUGGCCCCGAGUAAGCCAGGCAGGCCCUCUGCUGGGAUCCUCACAGAUGUCAGUCUCCUCGAUCCUUAAAAUCAGAGCUCUGGAGUCAGUCUCUUGACAGCAAGCCAAGUGGAACGCCUGUGUCUGAGCAGUAGGGCAGAGACCCCGCUCUGCCUGAGCAGCGGAGACAUCUCAGAUCUCGCGGUUGCAGAGGAUCUGCUUCCCCCUCAGAUGCCUGCAGGGGGAAAGAAGCGGAGGCAGGGGGAAAGAAGCGGAGGCAGGGGGUUGUCCUGGCUCACUCUGAGCCCGCCUGGCCUGGGUAGCAGGAACAGGAACUCCAUAGUGGGGACGAGGUUAGAGAGGAGGUGCUAGCCGGCUGCAGCCCCUCACAGGCAGGGCAGCCAGUUACAUCUGAAUUACAGAUAAACCAGAAAUACUUGUAGUUUAAGCAUGGCCCAAGGACUAGGGCAGUGGCAGUGGGGGUAAAGAAGGGGAGAGGUUUAAGAUUGUAUUUGAAGGAACUGAAAUCAGGAUCUUGAAGAGAUGAUAUCUGCGCACCCAGGUUCAUUGCGGUGUUACUCACAAAUGGCCAAGAUCUGGAAACAACCUAAAUGUCCGUCAGUGGAAAAAUGGAUAAAGAAAUUGUAGUAUACACCUAUGAGGGAAUAUUAUUCGACAUUUAAAAAGAAGGAAAUCCAGGGCCAGGGUGGUUGGUCACACCUGUAAUCCCAGCACUUUGGGAGGCCAAGGCAGGAGAAUCAAUCACUUGAAACCAGAAGUUUGAGACCAGCCUGGGCAACAAAGCAAGAUCCUGUCUCUACAAAAAAUUUAAAAAUUAGCCGGGUAUCAUGGCGCAUGCCUGUAGUUUGAACUGCUCAAGAGGAUGAGGCAGGAGGAUCACUUGAGCCCAGGAGCUGGAGGCUGCCCUGAGCUAUGACAGCACUGUUGCAUUCCAGCCUGGGCAACAGAGCGAGACCCGGUAUCUAAAAAAGAGAAAGAAAGAAGAAAGGAGGGAAGGAAGGAAGGGAGAGAGGGAUCAAUCCUGCCAUUUGUGACAACAUGGAUGGACCUGGAGGACAUGAUGAGAUCCUGAAGUAACUCAGACAGAGAAAAUCAAAUACUGCUCUUUCUCUCUUAUACAUGGAACGGAAAACAGCCAAACUCAUAGAAGCAGAAAGUAGAAUGAUGAUUGCCAGGGACUGGGAAGAGGGGGAAACAGAGUGAUGUUGGUCAAAGGGUACAAUGUCUCAGUUACGCAGGAUGAAUACAUUCUGGAGAUCUACUGUACAACUAGGGCCUGUGAUUAACAAUACUGUACUGUACACUUACACAUUUGCUAACAGAGUAGAUCUCAUGUUUAGUCCUCUUACCACAUAAGGAAAUGAAAAAGAAACAGAGGAGACGGAAGGACACUUAGAGUGAUGGAUAAGUUUAUGGCCUUGAUGAAUGUUUUCGCAGGUGUGUACAUAUCUCCAUCCAUCAAGUUGUAUACAUUAAAUAUCUACAGGCUGGGCGUGGUGGCUCAUGCCUGUAAUCCCAGCACUUUGGGAGGCCAUGGCGGGUGGAUCACUUGAGGUCAGGAGUUUGAGACCACCUGGGCAACAUGGUAAAACCCCAUCUCUACUAAAAAUGCAAAAAUUAGCCAGGCAUGGUGGCUCAUGCCUGUAAUCCCAGCUACUCGGGAGGCUGAGGUAUGAGAAUCAUUUGAACCUGGGAGGUGGAGGUUGCAGCAAGCCGAGAUCACACCACUGCACUCCAGCCUGGGAGACAGAGCAAAGUUCCGUCUCAAAACAAACAAAAAAAAAACCUACAGCUUUUUGUGUGUCAAUCAUACCUCCACACUAUGGUUUAAAAAAAGCAUGUGAUUUGGAGAUGGAUGCUCUGUGGAUUGGUAAUAAGUUAGAUGUAGGAGACAAGGACAUGGGAGAAAUCAAGAACAACCCCCAGGCUUCAGGCUUGAGCUACCUCUGGGUUCAUGGGACCACUUACUGGGGAUGGGAGGGCAGGGCAGGAUCAGACUAGAGAGGGGAACCAAGGCUUCUGUUUCUGGUGCUGUUAAAUUUGGGAGGAUUAUUUGAGCCUGAAGUGGAGAUUAUGGUUAUCCAAGCCUGGAGAUUCCGGAAUUAAGGGAAGGUCUGGCUGUGGCGUUACCAGCACCUGGGUGGAAUUUAAAGCCAUGGUUCUGGAUGCAACCUUGUAGGAAGUGAGAGUUCAGAGAGCAGAGACAACUGUCCAGAGCUAGACCUUGAAGACUCCUCAACGCUGAAGGUCACCGAGAGGAGGGACAGCCAAGGAAACUGAGUCGCAGCAGCCGUGGAGGCAGGCGGGAAAUUCUACUCACUCAGAGCUGUUCCAGACCCCAGACAUUCAGCACAUGCAGAAGUCCCACUGGCAGGGCCAAGGCAUGGAGCUCUCCAUCCCGGAACUGGGGCUUGAACUUGGCCAACCUGAGUUGGGGCAGAUCAUACCCUCCAGCUCUGGUCUGUCCUGAUUUUCUUCUGGCCACAGCACAUCCCCUCCCACUGUUCCUGUGGCAGCCAGCCUUCCAGAUGCACCCCACCUCCUGGCAAUCCUGCCCUCAUGUAGUCCCCUCCCACAUUAAAUAGGGCUGACCUGUGUUACCAGUUGUGGAAAUGACAGACUGUGACCAGGUCAUCAUAGAUAUUGCGGCUUCCAUCUUGCUCUCUCUUGAAUCACUCACGAUGGCGAGAGUCAGCUGCCAUGUUGUGAGGCUGCUUAAGCAGCCCUGUGCAGGCGUCCAGAAGGUGAAAAACUGAGGCCUCCUGCCAACAGCCACACGAACUCAUCAUCCGUGGUGGGAAGCCAUCUCCAGCCCCAGCCACGCCUUCAGGUGACUACAAACCCAGCUGCAUCUUGAUGCCAACCUCAUGAGUCAGAAGCCACUCCUGGAUUCCCAACCCACAGAAACUGUGAGACAUUAAAUGAUUAUUGUUGCUUUAGGCCACUAUGUUUUGUUCCACGGGAUGAUUUGUUCCACAGCAUUAGCUAGCUAAUAUUCGUCCAGAGAGGUCAGCCUCCUGGGGUCAGAGUAGAGGAGGUCAGAGAAUGAACACGGAGGGGCAGACAAUGCAGAGUCAGAACACUUGGUUUCCUGAUCCCAUAUUGUCCUGCUACACAUUUUCAAAAAGGGGAGGGGUAUUAAAAAUGAAGCAAAGUAGUUCAGUAUGCUUCAACCAGCCGUGAUCACCCUGGGACCAUCUGCUUCUAUGAACUGGACACUAUCGUCCCAUAGUGCCCCAAAUUAGGUUCCCCUUACAAAAACAGCACCACGCUGGUGGCGACUGAAACCCUGAGCUUCUUUUCACACACACCGCCCAGACCGCCCAGACCUCCUCAACUGGUUCUAUGCUUGGACACCAGAUUUCUCUUUAAAACCUAACUUUCUCUGAUAUCAAUUGAUCUUGGCCUUACUCCAAAGUUCCAAUCUAUCGAAAUCACUUUCAUCUCCCAUUUGGCUGUCACUUUCACUGUUCCCUCCAAUAUGUGUCACCUGCACAUCUGACCCUGUACUUUCUGCCAUCUUCAUCCAGAAAGUGGACUGAACGUUGAUUGGCUAGGGCAGAGCUCACCACAGAGCCCUUUGGUACUCCAUGACCACCAGGGCAACGGACUCCUUGAUGGCAAACACUUUGCUGAUAGACGUGCAAUCUGCCAUAAAUCCCACCAAAAAACACCGUCAUUACCAGUGAGUUUGCCAAUCCUUUAUUAAAAUGCCGGCUGGGGGUGGUGGCCUAUGCCUGUAGUCCCAGCUACUCAGGAGGCUGAGACUGGAUCACUGGGGCCCAGGUGUU
rnacentral:lncRNA from 10 species